rnacentral:rRNA from 1 species
UACAGAGGGGGCAAGCGUUAUUCGGAAUUAUUGGGCGUAAAGGGCGCGUAGGCGGCCUGGCAAGUGGAAGGUGAAAUCCCUCGGCUUAACCGAGGAACUGCCCUCCAAACUGCUUGGCUUGAAUCCGGGAGAGGGAUGCAGAAUUCCAGGUGUAGCGGUGAAAUGCGUAGAUAUCUGGAGGAAUACCGGUGGCGAAGGCGGCAUCCUGGACCGGCAUUGACGCUGAGGAGCGAAAGCUAGGGGAGCAAACGGG